UACGUAGGGGGCAAGCGUUGUCCGGAAUCAUUGGGCGUAAAGAGCGUGUAGGCGGCCCGGUAAGUCCGCUGUGAAAGUCCAGGGCUCAACCCUGGGAUGCCGGUGGAUACUGUCGGGCUCGAGUCCGGAAGAGGAGUGUGGAAUUCCUGGUGUAGCGGUGAAAUGCGCAGAUAUCAGGAGGAACACCAAUUGCGAAGGCAGCUCGCUGGGACGGUACUGACGCUGAGACGCGAAAGCGUGGGGAGCGAACAGG
rnacentral:rRNA from 1 species